GAGUUUGAUCCUGGCUCAGAUUGAACGCUGGCGGCAUGCCUUACACAUGCAAGUCGAACGGCAGCACGGAGCUUGCUCUGGUGGCGAGUGGCGAACGGGUGAGUAAUAUAUCGGAACGUACCCUAGAGUGGGGGAUAACGUAGCGAAAGUUACGCUAAUACCGCAUACGAUCUAAGGAUGAAAGUGGGGGAUCGCAAGACCUCAUGCUCGUGGAGCGGCCGAUAUCUGAUUAGCUAGUUGGUAGGGUAAAAGCCUACCAAGGCAUCGAUCAGUAGCUGGUCUGAGAGGACGACCAGCCACACUGGAACUGAGACACGGUCCAGACUCCUACGGGAGGCAGCAGUGGGGAAUUUUGGACAAUGGGCGAAAGCCUGAUCCAGCAAUGCCGCGUGAGUGAAGAAGGCCUUCGGGUUGUAAAGCUCUUUUGUCAGGGAAGAAACGGUGAGAGCUAAUAUCUCUUGCUAAUGACGGUACCUGAAGAAUAAGCACCGGCUAACUACGUGCCAGCAGCCGCGGUAAUACGUAGGGUGCAAGCGUUAAUCGGAAUUACUGGGCGUAAAGCGUGCGCAGGCGGUUUUGUAAGUCUGAUGUGAAAUCCCCGGGCUCAACCUGGGAAUUGCAUUGGAGACUGCAAGGCUAGAAUCUGGCAGAGGGGGGUAGAAUUCCACGUGUAGCAGUGAAAUGCGUAGAUAUGUGGAGGAACACCGAUGGCGAAGGCAGCCCCCUGGGUCAAGAUUGACGCUCAUGCACGAAAGCGUGGGGAGCAAACAGGAUUAGAUACCCUGGUAGUCCACGCCCUAAACGAUGUCUACUAGUUGUCGGGUCUUAAUUGACUUGGUAACGCAGCUAACGCGUGAAGUA
rnacentral:rRNA from 1 species